GCCUGAGUGGUGAAAUUGGUAAACACAUCAGACUUAAAAUCUGACGACUGUAUAGUCUUGCCGGUUCAAGUCCGGCCUCAGGUACCA
rnacentral:tRNA from 1 species